AACGAACGCUGGCGGCAUGCCUAACACAUGCAAGUCGAACGAGACCUUCGGGUCUAGUGGCGCACGGGUGCGUAACGCGUGGGAACCUGCCCUUAGGUUCGGAAUAACUCCCCGAAAGGGGUGCUAAUACCGGAUAAUGUCUUCGGACCAAAGAUUUAUCGCCUUUGGAUGGGCCCGCGUUGGAUUCGCUAGUUGGUAGGGUAAAAGCCUGCCAAGGCGACGAUCCAGAGCUGGUCUGAGAGGAUGCCACGCUACACUGGGACUGAGACACGGCCCAGACUCGUACGGGGGGCAGCAGUAGGGAAUAUUAGACACUGGGCGAAAGCCUGAUACAGCAAUGCCGCGUAAGUGAUGAAGGCCUUAGGGUUGUAAAGCUCUUUUACCCGGGAUGAUAAUGACAGUACCGGGAGAAUAAGCUCCGGCUAACUCCGUG
rnacentral:rRNA from 1 species